rnacentral:rRNA from 1 species
CCUACGGGAGGUAGCAGUGGGGAAUAUUGGGCAAUGGGCGCAAGCCUGACCCAGCAACGCCGCGUGAAGGAAGAAGGCUUUCCGGUUGUAAACUUCUUUUGUCAGGGAAGAGUAGUAGACGGUACCUGACGUUUAAGCCAUGUCUAACUACGUGCCAGCAGCCGCGGUAAUACGUAGGUGGCAAGCGUUGUCCGGAUUUACUGGGUGUAAAGGGCGUGUAGCCGGGUUGACAAGUCAGAUGUGAAAUCCUGCGGCUUAACCGAAGAACUGCAUUUGAAACUGGUGGUCUUGAGUACAGGAGAGGCAGGCGGAAUUCCUAGUGUAGCGGUGAAAUGCGUAGAUAUUAGGAGGAACACCAGUGGCGAAGGCAGUCUACUAGACAGCAACUGACGGUGAGGCGCGAAAGCGUGGGGAGCAAACAGGAUUAGAUACCCGAGUAGUC